rnacentral:rRNA from 1 species
AGCGAACGCUGGCGGCAGGCUUAACACAUGCAAGUCGAGCGGGCACCUUUGUGGUGUAAGCGGCAAACGGGUGAGUAACGCGUGGGAACUUGCCCUUCGUUUCGGAUUAACCCAGGGAAAUUGGACCUAAACCCGGUUAGUUGCGAGAGCAGAAAGGUUAAUCUCCCAAAGGUUCGGCCCGCGUCUGAUUAGCUAGUUGGUGGGGUUACGGCUCACAAAGGCGACGAUCAGUAGCUGGUCUGAGAGGAUGAUCAGCCACACUGGGACUGAGACACGGCCCAGACUCCUACGGGAGGCAGCAGUGGGGAAUAUUGGACAAUGGGGGCAACCCUGAUCCAGCCAUGCCGCGUGAGUGAUGACGGCCUUAGGGUUGUAAAGCUCUUUUCUCCGGGACGAUAAUGACGGUACCGGAGGAAUAAGCCCCGGCUAACUUCGUG